rnacentral:rRNA from 1 species
GACCAAAGCUUUAUGUGCUGAAAGAUGGUCUCGCGUCUGAUUAGCUAGUUGGUGAGGUAACGGCUCACCAAGGCGACGAUCAGUAGCCGGUCUGAGAGGAUGAACGGCCACAUUGGGACUGAGAUACGGCCCAGACUCCUACGGGAGGCAGCAGUGGGGAAUAUUGGGCAAUGGGGGAAACCCUGACCCAGCAACGCCGCGUGAAGGAAGAAGGCCUUCGGGUUGUAAACUUCUUUUACCAGGGACGAAGAACGUGACGGUACCUGGGGAAAAAGCAACGGCUAACUACGUGCCAGCAGCCGCGGUAAUACGUAGGUUGCAAGCGUUGUCCGGAUUUACUGGGUGUAAAGGGCGUGUAGGCGGAGAUGCAAGUUGGGAGUGAAAUCCCGGGGCUCAACCCCGGAACUGCUUUCAAAACUGUAUCCCUUGAGUGUCGGAGAGGCAAGCGGAAUUCCUAGUGUAGCGGUGAAAUGCGUAGAUAUUAGGAGGAACACCAGUGGCGAAGGCGGCUUGCUGGACGAUAACUGACGCUGAGGCGCGAAAGCGUGGGGAGCAAACAGGAUUAGAUACCCUGGUAGUCCACGCUGUAAACGAUGAAUACUAGGUGUGGGAGGACUGACCCCUUCCGUGCCGCAGUUAACACAAUAAGUAUUCCACCUGGGGAGUACGACCGCAAGGUUGAAACUCAAAGGAAUUGACGGGGGCCCGCACAAGCAGUGGAUUAUGUGGUUUAAUUCGACGCAACGCAAAGAACCUUACCAGGAUUUGACAUCCAACUAACGAAGUANAGAUACAUUNNUGCCCUUCGGGGAAAGUUGAGACAGUGGUGCAUGGUUGUCGUCAGCUCGUGUCNNGAGAUGUUGGGUUAAGUCCCGCAACGAGCGCAACC